rnacentral:rRNA from 1 species
GCACAGAGAGCUUGCUCCUUGGUGACGAGUGGCGGACGGGUGAGUAAUGUCUGGGGAUCUGCCCGAUAGAGGGGGAUAACCACUGGAAACGGUGGCUAAUACCGCAUAACGUCGCAAGACCAAAGAGGGGGACCUUCGGGCCUCUCACUAUCGGAUGAACCCAGAUGGGAUUAGCUAGUAGGCGGGGUAAUGGCCCACCUAGGCGACGAUCCCUAGCUGGUCUGAGAGGAUGACCAGCCACACUGGAACUGAGACACGGUCCAGACUCCUACGGGAGGCAGCAGUGGGGAAUAUUGCACAAUGGGCGCAAGCCUGAUGCACCCAUGCCGCGUGUAUGAAGAAGGCCUUCGGGUUGUAAAGUACUUUCAGCGGGGAGGAAGGCGAUGCGGUUAAUAACCGCGUCGAUUGACGUUACCCGCAAAAGAAGCACCGGCUAACUCCGUGCCAGCAGCCGCGGUAAUACGGAGGGUGCAAGCGUUAAUCGGAAUUACUGGGCGUAAAGCGCACGCAGGCGGUC